rnacentral:pre_miRNA from 1 species
AGUGGGAUAACUGGGCCAAAUGGUGGUUCCAUUCGAAGUUUUCUGAGGAAUCUCCAUACUGCUUUCCAGAGUGGUUGCACCAAUUUGCAGUCCCAUCAGCAAU